rnacentral:tRNA from 1 species
AAGGGUAUAGCUCAGUGGUAGAGCGCGUGCUUAGCAUGCUCUGGGUCCUGGCUUCAAUCCCCAGUAUCUCCA